CCCCAGGGAUGUCAUUAUAUCUGGGUUUCGCUUUUCAUACAGAAAUGGAGUUCUAGAAACUUCCAUGCAGCUUCCUACCAAAAUACACCUUCCUCCAUGGGUCAGAUUACAACUGUGACUAUGCCAAUUGCUGAUGAUAACUAGUCUCCAAUAUACUUGGGAACCAAGGAAAUACACAUGAUGUAGAUGAAGACCCAGCUGGGACUACUUUGAGGUUGGAGAAGCAUGGCUGGGAAGUCAUGGAGGCAGAGACCUACACCCAUCCCCCUGCAGGAAUCACUGCUUAGCAAGCCAUGCUAGGGCAUUCACCCCUGGAGCCACGUCACCACAGCUGAAAAUAUCACUGAAGCGGUGGCCACAGACCAUGCACCAUUGAGCUCUGCUGAAAAGGUGGUGUGAAUCACAGGACUGAUGCUGCCUCUGCUUAUGUGAAGCUUCAGAGACUCAGAAACAUCACCAGGACUUGGCUAAUGCCACCCAAAGAAUGUCUUCUUGGACACGUUAGAGGGGAAAAUCUUUGGGAUGUGUUUAGUUGGAGCACAACUAUAAGUGGAGAUGGACUGAGCACCCUGCAUGCCAUUCAGGUCAAGUGGUGAAGAGCCUUAUUUAAACAGACAAACAAACAAGAUCUAGAAACAACCAUUUAAGUGACUGGAUUGAGCAUGCACAGUUGCAAACUUGAAGAUGAAGCUCAUACCCACCUGUGCUAAAAGGAGCCUGAGUUGCUGAGAAUUUGAUAGAGUGAAACCAUCAUUCCAACCACAGGCAGCAUAACGUGGUUCAUUUAGAUCCCUCCCUCAGGGUUGGAUAUCUCAGGAGAAACAUUUUAAUCAGUUCCCCAAGAGGAAUAGAGAAGCCUCCAUGAUCCACCUGUGCUGGAACCAGAGGAGAGAGAAAGGAGUCAGUACUGUUCAUACCUGGAGCAAAGUUUUCUGAAAAAUGUUCUGGAAUAUUUCUGACUUUCUCCUUUGAUAAGUGGCGAUGCUGGAGCCAGAGAACCACUUCCUCCCGAAGACACACAUUUAGGCAAGAGCAAGAAACCGGAAGCUGUGCAGCAGAAAGAAGAAAAGCACAAAAGGCACAUGGCUCCCACAUUUUGGAAGAUUUCCCAGGAAAGUAUUUUUUAAAUAAUAUAGAUGGCCAGAACUUGGUCACAUGGUCACAUGUGGCUGCAAGAAAGACUUGCUGAUAUAAUCUUAUGGAUAAGCAUAUUACCAGGUUAAACAGAUUCCCUUAUCUAUCCAUGGGAGAAGAUGUUCUACAUUCCUUCAACUCUCUCUUGAACAUAAUAUUUUCUUUCUUAUUGAAGUUUUUUAAAAAGAGUUUAUUUCUUUAGAGUAGAUUUAAUUCACAGCAAAACUGAAGAGAAUGUACAAGAGAUUUUCUAUAGAGGCGUGCCCCCUCAUGUGUAUAGCCUACACCACUGCAAACUUCCCUGGCCAGAGUGGUACCUUUGUUACCACAGAUGAACCUGCAAGCAUGCAUCAUCACCCAAAGUCCACAGUUUAUGUUACGGCUCACUCUUGGUAUUGUGCUUUCAAUGGGUUUGGACAAGUGUAUUCAUCACUGUGGUCUGAAAUCCUCUGUUCUUCCUGUUCUUUCCCUUCUCUGAUAGCAAA